UUAUCAGACUUGUUACAAGGUUGUUCUAACAAGUCUGAUACAAUCUCGAUAUAGCAAGAAUGUUACAAGGUUGACGACACAAGAUUGUAACAAUAUUGUUAUAUCAUGACUGUAUCGGACAUGUUAGAACAACCCUGCCACAAGUCGGAUAA